AUGGGUAAGGGAACAGGUAGUUUUGGUAAGAGAAGGAACAAGACCCACACACUCUGUGUUAGGUGUGGCCGUCGCAGUUUCCAUCUCCAGAAGAGUCGUUGCUCAGCAUGUGCUUACCCAGCUGCACGUGUCAGGAAAUAUAAUUGGAGUGUUAAGGCUAUUAGGAGAAAGACUACCGGGACUGGUAGGAUGAGGUACUUGCGUAACGUUCCUCGCAGAUUCAAGAGUGGAUUCAGAGAAGGUACUGAAGCUGCACCCAGGAAGAAGGGAGCAGCUGCUUCUGCCUAA